rnacentral:rRNA from 1 species
UACGUAGGAUCCGAGCGUUGUCCGGAAUUACUGGGUGUAAAGGGCGUGUAGGUGGGUCUCUAAGUCGGUGGUGAAAUCCUGCAGCUUAACUGUAGAAUUGCCCUCGAUACUGGAGAUCUUGAGUGCGGUAGAGGGAGAUGGAAUUCAUGGUGUAGCGGUGAAAUGUGUAGAUAUCAUGAAGAACACCAGUCGCGAAGGCGGUCUCCUGGUCCGCUACUGACACUGAGGCGCGAAAGCCAGGGGAGCAAACGGG